GAUGAACGCUGGCGGCGUGCCUAAUACAUGCAAGUCGAGCGAACAGACGAGGAGCUUGCUCCUUUGACGUUAGCGGCGGACGGGUGAGUAACACGUGGGUAACCUACCUAUAAGACUGGGAUAACUUCGGGAAACCGGAGCUAAUACCGGAUAAUAUUUCGAACCGCAUGGUUCGAUAGUGAAAGAUGGCUUUGCUAUCACUUAUAGAUGGACCUGCGCCGUAUUAGCUAGUUGGUAAGGUAACGGCUUACCAAGGCAACGAUACGUAGCCGACCUGAGAGGGUGAUCGGCCACACUGGAACUGAGACACGGUCCAGACUCCUACGGGAGGCAGCAGUAGGGAAUCUUCCGCAAUGGGCGAAAGCCUGACGGAGCAACGCCGCGUGAGUGAUGAAGGUCUUCGGAGCGUAAAACUCUGUUAUUAGGGAAGAACAAACGUGUAAGUAACUGUGCACGUCUUGAUGGUACCUAAUCAGAAAGCCACGGCUAACUACGUG
rnacentral:rRNA from 1 species